rnacentral:rRNA from 1 species
CGGACGGGUGAGUAAUGCCUAGGAAUCUGCCUGGUAGUGGGGGACAACGUUUCGAAAGGAACGCUAAUACCGCAUACGUCCUACGGGAGAAAGCAGGGGACCUCCGGGCCUUGCGCUAUCAGAUGAGCCUAGGUCGGAUUAGCUAGUUGGUGAGGUAAUGGCUCACCAAGGCGACGAUCCGUAACUGGUCUGAGAGGAUGAUCAGUCACACUGGAACUGAGACACGGUCCAGACUCCUACGGGAGGCAGCAGCG